rnacentral:rRNA from 1 species
GAUGAACGCUGGCGGCGUGCCUAAUACAUGCAAGUCGAGCGAACAGACCAGGAGCUUGCUCCUCUGACGUUAGCGGCGGACGGGUGAGUAACACGUGGAUAACCUACCUAUAAGACUGGGAUAACUUCGGGAAACCGGAGCUAAUACCGGAUAAUAUAUUGAACCGCAUGGUUCAAUAGUGAAAGACGGUUUUGCUGUCACUGAUAGAUGGAUCCGCGCCGCAUUAGCUAGUUGGUAAGGUAACGGCUUACCAAGGCAACGAUGCGUAGCCGACCUGAGAGGGUGAUCGGCCACACUGGAACUGAGACACGGUCCCGACUCCUACGGGAGGCAGCAGUAGGGAAUCUUCCGCAAUGGGCGAAAGCCUGACGGAGCAACGCCGCGUGAGUGAUGAAGGUCUUCGGAUCGUAAAACUCUGUUAUUAGGGAAGAACAAAUGUGUAAGUAACUAUGCACGUCUUGACGGUACCUAAUCAGAAAGCCACGGCUAACUACGUG